UAUGAAGUGCUUUGUGAUGGAUCCGCUUC
rnacentral:sRNA from 1 species